CGUGCUACUAAGCAGACGGCUUCGCAACAGCUUCACUACACGCGUAAGCUGAUCCUCUCCGGGAUGUAUUUCGACAAUGCGUGCGAGGGGCCAUCGGGUGAUGGGAAGCGAAUCGUCCACUAGGAUGACCAGUCUGCCAGUAGCCAGUGAUGGAUUCGAAAUAGGCCAGUUAGAGGCAGGUAAAGCCAACCAAUCGGGACCACAACGCCACAUCGAACUUUUCAGCAUCUCAGCUGCGGACAUCCCUCGGGACACCAGGUCUGCAGGAUUCGAUGUACCGGGAAUGUGCUUCCAUUGUCGGGGAUGCGAAUAAUUCUGGAUCUCAGCAACACGAUUCGCCACGAAUGUUUUCCAGGUGUUGGGUGGAGACGCAAUCCAGUUUAGCGUCACAG